rnacentral:rRNA from 1 species
AGCCUUUAGCAAUGGAUCUCUUGGCUCCCGCAUCGAUGAAGAACGCAGCGAAAUGCGAUAUGUAAUGUGAAUUGCACGCAUUCGUGAAUCAUCGAAUUUUUGAACGCAUAUUGCACUUCCUGGUAUUCCGGGAAGUAUGUCUGUUUGAGUAUCAUUU